rnacentral:rRNA from 1 species
GACGAAGGGGGCUAGCGUUGUUCGGAAUUACUGGGCGUAAAGCGCGUGUAGGCGGUUGCCAUAGUCAGGUGUGAAAGCCUUGAGCUUAACUCAAGAAAUGCACUUGAUACUGGGCGACUAGAGGACCGGAGAGGAUAGUGGAAUUCCCAGUGUAGUGGUGAAAUACGUAGAGAUUGGGAAGAACACCAGUGGCGAAGGCGGCUAUCUGGACGGUUACUGACGCUAAGACGCGAAGGCGUGGGGAGCAAACAGG